rnacentral:rRNA from 1 species
CUGGCGGCAGGCUUAACACAUGCAAGUCGAACGGUAGCAGGAAGAAAGCUUGCUUUCUUUGCUGACGAGUGGCGGACGGGUGAGUAAUGCUUGGGAAUCUGGCUUAUGGAGGGGGAUAACUGUGGGAAACUGCAGCUAAUACCGCGUAAUCUCUGAGGAGUAAAGGGUGGGACCUCUUGGCCACCUGCCAUAAGAUGAGCCCAAGUGGGAUUAGGUAGUUGGUGGGGUAAAGGCCUACCAAGCCUGCGAUCUCUAGCUGGUCUGAGAGGAUGACCAGCCACACUGGAACUGAGACACGGUCCAGACUCCUACGGGAGGCAGCAGUGGGGAAUAUUGCGCAAUGGGGGGAACCCUGACGCAGCCAUGCCGCGUGAAUGAAGAAGGCCUUCGGGUUGUAAAGUUCUUUCGGUAAUGAGGAAGGGAUGUUGUUAAAUAGAUGGCAUCAUUGACGUUAAUUACAGAAGAAGCACCGGCUAACUCCGUGCCAGCAGCCGCGGUAAUACGGAGGGUGCGAGCGUUAAUCGGAAUAACUGGGCGUAAAGGGCACGCAGGCGGACUUUUAAGUGAGAUGUGAAAUCCCCGAGCUUAACUUGGGAAUUGCAUUUCAGACUGGGAGUCUAGAGUACUUUAGGGAGGGGUAGAAUUCCACGUGUAGCGGUGAAAUGCGUAGAGAUGUGGAGGAAUACCGAAGGCGAAGGCAGCCCCUUGGGAAUGUACUGACGCUCAUGUGCGAAAGCGUGGGGAGCAAACAGGAUUAGAUACCCUGGUAGUCCA